AUGUGUGAACAACACCCUUGUGACAAAAUGGUGGCCGUAGCAGGUGGGUGGAGUUAUAUGGCUGAUCCAGGUUGGUCAAUUCAAUUCAGGUGGGUGGGGCUUAGUGCAGAUUCACAUAAAUACAGUCGGAUUUGUGAGGGACCUCCAUUUUGCCUUUGGACCCCCUUUGGAUCAGGACUCCUUUCUGCUUUUGGACCUUCUUGGAUUUGGACUCUUUUCUGCUUUUGGACCUCCUUGGAUAAGAACUCUUUUCUGCUUUGUUUAAAGAAAGGAGUUUUGGAAGACAUGGAAUCUCGAAAAAAUAGUUAAAACUGGGUGGUGAUCUCUCCACCAGGGCCAGUGGGCGAGGCCACAAAUGGCCUCACCCCCAGGCCCUAGUGAAAGAGCCCACCCCCGGCCCUAAAUCCACUGUGAAGGGGCAGGUUCCACCGCCCUGUCCCAUCACCUGCCUGGCUGCUGACAGUCUACGGCUACGACGUUCUAACACGCCUGGAGGAGUACAAGGCCAGGAUCACGUCCACCUUUGGAUCCAUCCUGAAAAUGGCUUCAACCAGGAAGGUUUUUAUCGCAUUAAACUGAUUCUUGUGUCCACACACUUCUACCGCAACAAAAAUAUCUCUUUCCAGGUGACAAGGAAGCUCGCCGGUACAGCCUGUGACUGACACCGUGCAACCAACGUAGCGAAGGAGUAUUGGCAGGUCCUUAUGAGGGUCCUUACUUGUUCUGGGGGCCUGUCCAUGAUGGCAGCAGCUGGACUGAUGAGACGGUACCAACUCGCCAGGGAACGUCCCCUAGGGUCACCCGUGUGGACAGGACUGCUGCCUGCAAUAGUUAGGUGUGUCAAAAACAACGACCUUGUUUCAUUUAUAUUAUAUAGAUUGUAGCCUGGAAGACAUAAAGAAAUAUAUGCACGCGUGUUGCACUGUCUGAUGAGGCACUUUGUGGCAGGUGUAACGACACAGAGCCGUGAGCUGUACCCAACCUUUAUUAGGCAGCUGUCACACGGCAUCUUCACAAAACAACAAAGGAGUGGCAACUCCACUGUUGGAGUGGAGGAGUCAGCAAUCCUGAUCCAGAACCUCCUGGACUCCUUUGGUGGACCUGCAGGACACAACUCUAUGAACAUCCCCUUGUUGAACGCAGCCAGUAUGGAAAGCAUAUGAACUACGCAGAUGUGCCACCUCAGCUGCAUCCAGGACCCGCCAUGUGUGCAGCUGCAGCUACUGUAUUAAUACUUAUUAUAACAAGAGGUGGUGUAAUUAGUUACUACUGAUCAAGUGACAAUAGAGAACUGAUAAAAUACUAAGCUGAAGCAAAUAAAUGAGACAGGUUUUGUUCA
rnacentral:lncRNA from 1 species